rnacentral:rRNA from 1 species
CGCGUAGGCGGCCAAUUAAGUCAAAUGUGAAAUCCCCGAGCUUAACGUGGGCAUUGCAUUUGAAACUAUGUAGCUAGAGUUCUGUAGAGGGGGGUAGAAUUCCAGGUGUAGCGGUGAAAUGCGUAGAGAUCUGGAGGAAUACCGAUUGCGAAGGCAGCCCCCUGGACAGUGACUGACGCUCAUAUGCGAAAGCGUGGGGAUCAAACAGGAUUAGAUACCCCCGUA